UGCAAAUGCACUCUGUGUCACAUCGAAUUUAACUACAUGUGAAAACAAUUUGUUAGUUUGCUAUAGGAAAGAGAUGAGACUUAUCCGUGCAAUUAGUGCCGUAAAAGGUUGAUUGCAUUGAAAUCGCAUUUUACACUAA
rnacentral:snoRNA from 1 species